rnacentral:rRNA from 1 species
GGGUCAGUAGGAUGGUCGUGCCACCGGUACGUACUGGUCUCACUGAUUCCUCCUUCCUGAAGAACCGUAAUGCCAUUAAUUUGGUGUUGCGGGGAAACAGGACUGUUACUUUGAAAAAAUUAGAGUGUUUAAAGCAAGCUAACGCCUGAAUACAUUAGCAUGGAAUAAUGAAAUAGGACGAUCGAUCCUAUUUUGUUGGUGUCUAGGAUUGACGUA